AUGCUUGAUCUCAAUGAGUUGCCUCCUGAUCUCAAUGAGCUUCCUCAUGAUACGGAUCAGCAGCAACCCAGCAUACCACAAGGAAACCGGACAGAAAAUGUUCGAUCUAUUUACUACACGCAGGCAAGUUAUGGUGGAAACCCUAUGGGUCAUGACAAUGUGGCAGGCCAGCCAUCAACCCGUGGUGCCCAUGUAGUGGUGUCUUUGCAGUCAGAGAGCCAUACUCUAGAUGACACGGGAACCGAGGCAAAUGUUCCUGGUCCAACCAGAACUGAGCUAGGAGUUGGGGCUGUUGACGGAGCUGCAAGAAGAAGAAGGAGAGGAUGA
rnacentral:rRNA from 1 species